GACGAACGCUAGCGGCGUGCUUAAUACAUGCAAGUCGAACGGAAAGGCGCUGCUUUUGUCGGGUGCUCGAGUGGCGAACGGGUGAGUAACACGUGAGUAACCUGCCCUUGACUUUGGGAUAACUACAGGAAACUGGGGCUAAUACCGGAUAGGAGCUCCUGCUGAAUGGUGGGGGUUGGAAAGUUUCGGCGGUUGGGGAUGGACUCGCGGCUUAUCAGCUUGUGGGUGGGGUAGUGGCUUACUAAGGCUUUGACGGGUAGCCGGCCUGAGAGGGUGACCGGCCACAGUGGCACUGAGAUACGGCCCAGACUCGUACGGGAGGCAGCAGUGGGAAAUAUUGCACAAUGGGCGGAAGCCUGAUGCAGCAACGCCGCGUGCUGGAUGACGGCCUUCGGGUUGUAAACCGCUUUCGCCUGUGACUAAGCGUGACUGACGGUAAUGGGUAAAGAAGCACCGGCUAACUACGUG
rnacentral:rRNA from 1 species